CAUGCUUAUUUGUCUCAUUUUGCUUUGUUCUUUUUUGCUUAUAUGGUGAUCUCCUUUUUUCCUUAUGUUAGCAGUGAGUUAUUUCUGUUUUUCUGGUUUUCCAUUGCUCCUAAAAUGUACAUCAAAAUCAGUGUGGCUGUAUUCAGAGAGAUGAGCUACUAUGUAGACAUUAUUUGUUUUUGUUAUGUACUUGGUUACUUAAUAAUCAUUCUUGAUAUUGAAAAGGGACAGAAAUAAGCUGAGUAUUGGACCUGACUGAGUAGUGUUUGCUGGUUAACACAUCUAUGUUACUGGACCUGUUCUUUUUUCUUCCCACAGUUUGUCAUCUAAAAUGAAUUAACCUCGGAAGGGGAUUACUCUUCCUCGUUCUGGGCUAGGAAUUCGUUGCUAUGUGAUGCAUCGUUUGGUCCUACUCCAGUGUUGUUUUGCCUUCUUUUACUCAGCUCAUGUUGCGUUUGGCUUGGAGACUACUGAAAUGAAAAUGUGUUGGAGCGAUUAUGUGUUGCAGGUAAAGAAACAAAUUUUCAUUUCUUUUGGCUUGCUAUUAAUUGUCACUUGCGUACACAUGAUUAGGUUGGUCACGGAUUUGUGCAGAUAGCUAGCAUUGCUAAUAUUGUGUGUUGCUCCAGAAAUAGAUCAAGUGAUACUUUAAUUUUUGUUUGUCUAAUGAUUUUUUGUUACUUCCUUUUGAAUGCUUAGCCAUGUCGUGUUUCACUCAUGUGGAACUCAAGAUUCGAUAGUAGCGCAUAACUCAUGAUUUGACAAACAGUUAAAUUCCUAUAUUUUAGUAUAUCUUAUUAUCUUUCUUAUUUCUGUUCCUGAACUGAACUUCGCCAUUUUCUACAAAAUUAUAAGAGCAAUGAUGGUUUGGACAAAUGAUUAUGGUUGCUUAUUUAUUUUCUUGGUGCUAGAUUACUAAUGUAGAGAAAUAUAAUUAUAUGAUUUUACCAUUAUUAUCAGAUGAGGAAGUGAUAGGUUCGUAAAAUGACAAUAGUUACCUAUCUCUCAUCUCUACUGUAUUCAUGUAAAUGCCCAUGUCUUUUUCCAUUAUUUUCAGUUGAUAUGUUCUUCACUGGACACAAAUCAUUCUUACUAUACUAUCAGAUAUUAAUAGCACAUGCUCUUUUGAGGGAAAUGGGGAUGUCACUAUCUUUUGGUCUUCUGCCCAGAAAUCUUUAGACAUUACUCUGUUCCAUACACUAAGAAGUUUGAAGUGUGUUGAUUGCCACUCGCGUUGCUGCUCUGCUUGGAGGCGUCGGCGUCGACUGGAGGAGCGCCGAAUCGUUGUCCUCGAGUUCGUGCACUUCAGGAAGAAGACGGCUCAAGGUGAGACGUCACGCAUCCGUCGUGCGGAGGUAGAGCAGCUCUAGAGGGACCAAGGUCGAGGUAGCCACUGCUCCUGUCGAGGCUAGCCUGCCGUAGGGACGAAUCAGGUCCCUAGACCCUUAUGAGCCCUAAUUUUCAUGGAGCAAGGUGCAUCUUGCCGCUUUUGCUUUUGUAAAUGAAGCCCAUAGGUGGAGAAAUUUGGACGAUCUGUAGUCAAAGGAUACCAUCAAGCAAGCGGACGCACAAGGAGGGUUGCCCCGGAGUAGAGGUAGAGGACGUUGCCAGCUGCAUCUCUCUCUGACCUGAAGCCCACCUUGGCAUGGAUGUGAUCAGCGUUGAUCUCCAACAUUGGCAAGCAUUGAUGGAAAUGUUCCUCGACACAAUGACGAACAUCAACCUAGGAACAACCUUUUUAUUUUAUCUUUUGUUGCCUCUACUGUAUUGUUACUGCCACAAAGAUUUACCUGGACAUGGAGCCAUCAAGAUGUGUUUAAAAAUGGUUACAUUAUCCUUUUUCUAACCUGAUGGUGUUAGAAACAUCUUAGCAUUCAAGCAGGUUUAGUUCAUUGUUUAUUAAUUCCAAUUAUGUAAAAAAUCACUGAUCAUCGCUUGACAGAAAAUAUUUUGAUAUGCCAUCAUGUACAUGGGCGAAGAAC